rnacentral:rRNA from 1 species
GGAAUAUUGCACAAUGGGCGAAAGCCUGAUGCAGCAACGCCGCGUGCGCGAUGAAGGCCUUCGGGUCGUAAAGCGCUUUUCUGGGGGAAGAGUAAGGACGGUACCUCAGGAAUAAGUCUCGGCUAACUACGUGCCAGCAGCCGCGGUAACACGUAGGAGACAAGCGUUAUCCGGAUUUAUUGGGCGUAAAGGGCAUGUAGGCGGGCUCUUAAGUCGGAUGUGAAAUCUCUUGGCUUAACCGGGAGGGGUCAUUCGAUACUGGGAGUCUUGAGGGCAGGAGAGGGAAGUAGAAUUCCCGGUGUAGUGGUGGAAUACGUAGAUAUCGGGAGGAAUACCAGUGGCGAAAGCGGCUUCCUGGCCUGUGCCUGACGCUGAUAUGCGAAAGCGUGGGUAGCAAACGG